AUACGGAGGGUGCGAGCGUUGUUCGGAAUUAUUGGGCGUAAAGCGAGCGCAGGCGGUUCCUUAAGUCUGAUGUGAAAGCCCACGGCUUAACCGUGGAAGGUCAUUGGAUACUGGCAGACUUGAAUACGGGAGAGGGCAGUGGAAUUCCUGGUGUAGGAGUGAAAUCCGUAGAUAUCAGGAGGAACACCGGUGGCGAAGGCGGCUGCCUGGACCGAUAUUGACGCUGAGACGCGAAAGCGUGGGUAGC
rnacentral:rRNA from 1 species